GACGAACGCUGGCGGCGUGCUUAACACAUGCAAGUCGAACGGAAAGGCCCCCUUGUGGGGUACUCGAGUGGCGAACGGGUGAGUAACACGUGAGUAACCUACCCUUGACGUUGGGAUAAGUGUAGGAAACUGGGGCUAAUACCGGAUAGGAGCUACUGCUGAAUGGUGGGGGUUGGAAAGUUUCGGCGGUUGGGGAUGGACUCGCGGCUUAUCAGCUUGUUGGUGGGGUAGUGGCUCACCAAGGCUUUGACGGGUAGCCGGCCUGAGAUGGUGACCGGCCACAUUGGGACUGAGAUACGUCCCAGACUCCUACGGGAGGCAGCAGUGGGGAAUAUUGCACAAUGGGCGGAAGCCUGAUGCAGCAACGCCGCGUGCGGGAUGACGGCCUUCGGGUUGUAAACCGCUUUCGCCUGUGACGAAGCGUGAGUGACGGUAAUGGGUAAAUAAGCACCGGCUAACUACGUG
rnacentral:rRNA from 1 species